UAAAGCAUCUGGCCUACACCCAGAAGAAUUCAUAUUUCAUGAACACUUUGA
rnacentral:tRNA from 1 species